rnacentral:miRNA from 1 species
AUUUGUGUGUGGAUGUGUGU